CGAGGAAAUAGUGAAGCUCCGACCACUGUACGCAUCGAGGCGUGGGGUGCCAGGAGCAGCACUUCGACCUUGGGUUUGGUUUUGCCGGGCUUUACAAUCAACGGUCCGACGUCGGGGAUAGUAAACCGCGAACGUCCCCAUGGAAGGCGUAAAUGGGGCGGAAGUGUUACUCCGACAACCGUGAGUGGCGGCGGAGCGGCUAGGAUCACACAGAGCCCAAGAGCUAACUGUGCGGCGUGCUGUGGAGGUCGAGGAAAUAGUGAAGCUCCGACCACUGUACGCAUCGAGGCGUGGGGUGCCAGGAGCAGCACUUCGACCUUGGGGUUUGGUUUUGCCGGGCUUUACAAUCAACGGUCCGACGUCGGGGAUAGUAAACCGCGAACGUCCCCAUGGAAGGCGUAA
rnacentral:lncRNA from 1 species